AAACCAACCGGGAUUGCCUUAGUAACGGCGAGUGAAGCGGCAAAAGCUCAAAUUUGAAAUCUGGCGUCUUCGACGUCCGAGUUGUAAUUUGAAGAAGGCGACUUUGUAGCUGGUCCUGUCUAUGUUCCUUGGAACAGGACGUCAUAGAGGGUGAGAAUCCCGUGUGGCGAGGAUCCCAGUUAUUUGUAAAGUGCUUUCGACGAGUCGAGUUGUUUGGGAAUGCAGCUCUAAGUGGGUGGUAAAUUCCAUCUAAAGCUAAAUAUUGGCGAGAGACCGAUAGCGAACAAGUACAGUGAUGGAAAGAUGAAAAGAACUUUGAAAAGAGAGUGAAAAAGUACGUGAAAUUGUUGAAAGGGAAGGGCAUUUGAUCAGACAUGGCGUUUGCUUCGGCUUUCGCUGGGCCAGCAUCAGUUUUAGCGGUUGGAUAAAUCCUCGGGAAUGUGGCUCUGCUUCGGUAGAGUGUUAUAGCCCGUGGGAAUACAGCCAGCUGGGACUGAGGAUUGGAGACGGUGUCAAGGACACCCCG
rnacentral:rRNA from 1 species